rnacentral:rRNA from 1 species
UACGAGUGCCCCCAAGCGUUAUCCGGAAUCAUUGGGCGUAAAGGGUGUGUAGGCGGUUUUGUUAGUCUUUUGUGAAAUUCUUCGGCUCAACCGGGGGUCCGCAAAAGAAACGGCAAAACUAGAGGAUGUGAGAGGUGAAUGGAACUCAUGGUGUAGGGGUGAAAUCCGUUGAUAUCAUGGGGAACACCAAAUGCGAAGGCAAUUCACUGGCACAUUCCUGACGCUGAAACACGAAAGCGUGGGUAGCGAAUGGG